rnacentral:rRNA from 1 species
AAUCAACGCUGGCGGCGUGCCUAACACAUGCAAGUCGAGCGAGAAAGGGGCUUCGGCCCUGAGUAAAGCGGCGCACGGGUGAGUAACACGUGGGUAAUCUGCCCUCGAGUGGGGAAUAACACCGGGAAACCGGUGCUAAUACCGCAUACGAUCACGAUGUUUUCGGAUGUUGUGAUGAACGGAGCAAUUCGCUCUUGGAGGAGCCCGCGGCUGAUUAGCUAGUUGGUGAGGUAAUGGCUCACCAAGGCAACGAUCAGUAGCCGGUCUGAGAGGACGGUCGGCCACACUGGAACUGAGACACGGUCCAGACUCCUACGGGAGGCAGCAGUGGGGAAUUUUUCGCAAUGGGGGCAACCCUGACGAAGCAACGCCGCGUGGAUGAUGAAGUCUCUUGGGACGUAAAAUCCCUUCGACAGGGAAGAAACCGCAAGGUUGACGGUACCUGUAGAAGAAGCCCCGGCUAACUCCGUGCCAGCCGCCGCGGUAA